rnacentral:lncRNA from 1 species
UCCAUGGGAUCCGCCGUUUUUCAAAGGGGACCCAAAAAAAAUGUCACUUCUUCUUCAUGAACAACAUAGAACACCUAAGACCUAGAGCUUGAAGCAAAAUCGGCAGCAUCUCCUUAACAAGGGAGAGCUCACCUUUAAUUCCCUAAGAAGCUUCAGCCAUUACCCAUAUAUCCCCAUCUCUUAAUAGCACUACUUAUCCCCUUCUUCUUCCUCAUCGAUUCAUUAACCAUCAUCCAUUCAAUGGCCAACUAAAAACUAUCCUAAAAUCAACAAAAUACCAUGAAAAAACACUACCAAAGGCUCCUCCAAAACAGUCACAAAAAUCUGCCGUGAAACAGCCCAAAAUCAGACAUCAAAAUAAUCCAAAACUCAGUGAAAUUCGGUCAGAAAUGGGAGUUCAAACACAACAUAAAUCCAGCAAAAACGCACCAAAAUCUGCCUCUACAGGAAACCCGAAGCAGCUCCAAAAACACUCCAAAAAGGGUGGAUGUUAAGUGAGGUAUCCGUUCAAAUUUCGACGAGGUUUUUCCGGCGAGUUUUCUAUCUCAGUCUAAGGUUAGUUUCCAUUCUUGUUCAUUUUCUAAUAUUGAUUGUCGAUGUGCUUACAUUCUUUCCCUUAAUAUACUGAGGAGUUUUUUUUUAUUUUUUAUUUUAUUAAGAGUCCAAGUCUCUUUACUCUUUUCUUGAGUUCUUAUUAGUCAUCUUCAAUCUUUUGUUUGUUAUUGUACGGUUUAAAUUCCGCGGCUAAUUCUAUUGUUUGCACAACCAUAUCCAGAUUAAUGUUUGGUUAGUUAUGAGUAUAAGUGUAGUAAUCCUAAGCCUUUUUGUCAAUUGGGUGUAAUGAUUCAUAGUAUUUCGUUAUUAAAAUGCCCUGUCCAUGUACACCUUUAUGUGUCUGCUUUAAUUGGUGUUUGAGGUCCAUUAGCAUGUUUGUUUGGCUCGAAUUUUAGAUUGCCUCACUGUCAUGAAAGUUAGUUCCUUGAACCAUUUGAUUAGUGGAAAUUGAGAAAAGUUUGUGAUAGUUAAGUUAGAACGAUAAUAAUAGCACACAAUGUAUGUGCCAUGAGAUUUACUUCGGUUAGAAUAGAAUUUAAUUUUAUUUGUGCAAUAAAAGGGACAUAAGACCCAAAAAAAAUGAUAAAUUUGUAAGCUAGCUCAUUACUUUGCCGGUCAAAUAAAUUUAUAGACUUGCCUAGUUUCUUAACAAUAAAUUGCCGAUUAGUUUUUUCUUUCUAGGAGUGUAAUUAGCCCAUUUCUUAUAACUAAUAGGUAUUAAUAUAACUUCAAGAUAUAGAGUGAUAAUUAUUUGGUAGUUAUAAAUAGUUUUCACAAGUUAGUAAUACAAUUGGCUUUGUAAAUAAUCUUUAAUGUAGGAAUUUUACACUCUUUUCACAAUUCUCACCCUAUAAAGUCAUGGUCUUACAAUAAUCUCAAAAUUUAAGAAGAAUAAUGAAUACCGUUAGAGUGCUUUAGGCGUGUUUUGAAUUUAUCAUCGUGAUUAUGUACACGUUCGCAUGACAUAAUCACGAUUCCUAAAAUUAAAACCAAGGUAUGCGUUCGCGCAACUUUGGAUGCAACAAUCUUAAUUAAUAAAGCGUGAUUAAUUGUGGACACGUACACAUGGCAUGAUUUUUGACGCGCCAAACAAAAUGAGUACACGUAUGCGUGACUCAAUUCUUUAAUUACGAAUAACUCAAGUGUGUAAAAGCGGCUAAAAAGAUAAAUGCACAUAGGUUUUAAAAUCAGUAAUUGAGCAAUUCUAAUAAGCCAAGUAUAAAUUGCUAAGCGACCGUGCUAGAACCACGGAACUCGGGAGUGCCUAACACCUUCUCCCGGGUUAACAGAAUUUUUUUCCCGGAUUUCUGUGUUCGCGGACCAUAAAUAAGAGUCAACUUCCUCGAUUCGGGAUUUUAAACUGGUGACUUGGGACACCAUAAAUUAUCCCAAUUGGCGACUCUGAAUUUAAUAUAAAUAAUCUUGUUUCGAUUGUCACUUAAAUUGGAAAAACUCCCUUAUACCCUUCGCGGGGUGUAGUAAAAAGGAGGUGUGACAUGUGGUCCAUUAUGCUAUAGCGGAUUUGUUUCGAUGACCAAGAAAUAACCAUAUAAUGAACCAGAAGCAACUCAAAUUUUAAAAGUAUUUUCGCUGGCCACAUAAUGAUUCAACUGGCCGCAUAAUGAUUAUGUUAUUGGGAAAUUGCAUCGCGAAAUGGACCAGACCCAACCCAGAAUUUGAAAAUCAUUUUGCGGCCAUUCUGCUGGCCGCAUAAUCAUUUUGCUAUCGCAAAUUUGCAUCACAGUUACCAUUUUGUGUCCAUUAUGAUGCCCACAUAUCUGUUCUGCUACCACAUAAUUGCACCACAUAAUUGAGUUUGGGGGUUAUUUUUGGAAUUUUUUUUAUCCGACCCUAUUUUUAUAUAAGGCCUUAGGGGGUCAUUUUAUAAGAUAUAACUUGAUAUUUUAGAGUGAGGGUAUCAAUUUAGAGAGAGAGAGAGAGGAAGGAACUCUAUAAAAUUAUACUCUUCAAUUCUUGCACAAAUCUUAGGAAUUCAAGAGGGAAACUUACAAGACAUUCUACUUACAAGGUAAGACUUCAUUCCUAGCUUUAAUACAAUGUUUAAUAAUGGAUUUAGGUAGUAUAUUAUCAUGGUGGGGAUUGUGUGACGGUGACCGAAAGCCAUAAGCCCUCAAUCUAGAAUUUAGGAGUAUGUGAAGGCUGGGAAAUGUGGUUUUGGUGGUUUGAAGCAAAUGAUUGAGCAUGUAUAUGACUAACAAUGGUUGAUGGGUGUUGUAGGGAUAUAUUAUAUUGGUUGGCUGAUUGAAAAUUCAUGGUGAGGGUAGAGGAAAUUCUAAUAUAGGACCUUGUAAUUGACUUUUCAUAUUAGGUGUUUGAUGAAAUGUCAGAAUGGGUUAAAUCUAAGAAUACCUUCCUAACUAUGGUUAAAUUUGGUUAUGUUUCUGCAGAUUGUGUGGGACGUUGUAGUAAUCUAAGAAAAACUCAAGCAUGGUAUGUUGUCUAAACUUCUCUCUUAGAAUCAUCGAAUUCUGUGAUGUUAUCAUAAGUUUCAAUUAUGGUCGGCCCAAGUUCCUAAUCCCAUGUUCCGAGUUGUUCCUAAUAAAUUCAAGUAUCCCAAGUAAGUAUUGAGUUGAAAGAUGCGUAUGAUCAAAAAGUGUUCCAAUUGUUCCUACCCUAUUAUGACCUCUACGAUAAUAUGUUCAUAUAUAUAUCAAAUCCCUAUGUCCAAAUGCUUUUAUUAUUUAUAAACUAUGAUAAUGUUUGGAAGUGAAAGAAGUGAGAGUGAGAUGUAAGACGCAGACAUGGUUGUUGUAACUAGUGCAUUUGAUUUGAAUUCAUAUUUUAGUCAUAAAUCACCAUGCUCUCCUUUAUGAAUAUUUCCAAUAUGAUUUGAGUUAUCACAUAUUCAUGAGUUGAAAUUGUGUGUUGCCCUUUUGGGAAAGAGUAUUUCGAGGUUAAGUGGUGUAUCACUCGUUUAUGAUUUUAACUCGUACUUCAAAUGCUAGUCAUUU